AGCUACACGUGCAGCCGAGCGGUAGAAGUCCUUCGGGACUUUGAGAGCGGCGUACGGGUGCGGAACACGUGUGCAACCUGCCUUUAUCAGGGGGAUAGCCUUUCGAAAGGAAGAUUAAUACCCCAUAAUAUAAUGAGUGGCAUCACUUAUUAUUGAAAACUCCGGUGGAUAAAGAUGGGCACGCGCAAGAUUAGAUAGUUGGUGAGGUAACGGCUCACCAAGUCAGUGAUCUUUAGGGGGCCUGAGAGGGUGAUCCCCCACACUGGUACUGAGACACGGACCAGACUCCUACGGGAGGCAGCAGUGAGGAAUAUUGGACAAUGGGUUAGCGCCUGAUCCAGCCAUCCCGCGUGAAGGACGACGGCCCUAUGGGUUGUAAACUUCUUUUGUAUAGGGAUAAACCUUUCCACGUGUGGAAAGCUGAAGGUACUAUACGAAUAAGCACCGGCUAACUCCGUGCCAGCAGCCGCGGUAAUACGGAGGGUGCAAGCGUUAUCCGGAUUUAUUGGGUUUAAAGGGUCCGUAGGCGGAUCUGUAAGUCAGUGGUGAAAUCUCACAGCUUAACUGUGAAACUGCCAUUGAUACUGCAGGUCUUGAGUAAGGUAGAAGUAGCUGGAAUAAGUAGUGUAGCGGUGAAAUGCAUAGAUAUUACUUAGAACACCAAUUGCGAAGGCAGGUUACUAUGUCUUAACUGACGCUGAUGGACGAAAGCGUGGGGAGCGAACAGGAUUAGAUACCCUGGUAGUCCACGCCGUAAACGAUGCUAACUCGUUUUUGGGUUUUCGGAUUCAGAGACUAAGCGAAAGUGAUAAGUUAGCCACCUGGGGAGUACGUUCGCAAGAAUGAAACUCAAAGGAAUUGACGGGGGCCCGCACAAGCGGUGGAUUAUGUGGUUUAAUUCGAUGAUACGCGAGGAACCUUACCAAGGCUUAAAUGGGAAUUGAUGGGUUUAGAAAUAGACCGUCCUUCGGGCAAUUUUCAAGGUGCUGCAUGGUUGUCGUCAGCUCGUGCCGUGAGGUGUUAGGUUAAGUCCUGCAACGAGCGCAACCCCUGUCACUAGUUGCCAUCAUUAAGUUGGGGACUCUAGUGAGACUGCCUACGCAAGUAGAGAGGAAGGUGGGGAUGACGUCAAAUCAUCACGGCCCUUACGCCUUGGGCCACACACGUAAUACAAUGGCCGGUACAGAGGGCAGCUACACAGCGAUGUGAUGCAAAUCUCGAAAGCCGGUCUCAGUUCGGAUUGGAGUCUGCAACUCGACUCUAUGAAGCUGGAAUCGCUAGUAAUCGCGCAUCAGCCAUGGCGCGGUGAAUACGUUCCCGGGCCUUGUACACACCGCCCGUCAAGCCAUGGAAGUCUGGGGUACCUGAAGUCGGUGACCGUAAAAGGAGCUGCC
rnacentral:rRNA from 1 species